rnacentral:rRNA from 1 species
GACGAACGCUGGCGGCGUGCUUAACACAUGCAAGUCGAACGGAAAGGCCUGCUUUCCCUUGUGGAUUGCGGGUACUCGAGUGGCGAACGGGUGAGUAACACGUGAGUGAUCUGCCCCCAACUUGGGUAUAAGCCUGGGAAACUGGGUCUAAUUCCCGAUAGGACUGCAGGGUGGUGCCUGUGGUGGAAAACGAUUUUCUAGUGGUUGGGGAUGAGCUCGCGGCCUAUCAGCUUGUUGGUGGGGUAAUGGCCUACCAAGGCGGCGACGGGUAGCCGGCCUGAGAGGGUGGACGGCCACAUUGGGACUGAGAUACGGCAGACUCCUACGGGAGGCAGCAGUGGGGAAUAUUGCACAAUGGGCGGAAGCCUGAUGCAGCGACGCCGCGUGGGGGAUGACGGCCUUCGGGUUGUAAACUCCUUUCGACCGCGAGGAAGCCACCUGGUUGGAAGGGUGGUGACGGUAGUGGUAGAAGAAGCACCGGCUAACUACGUG